UUGGUGAGGUAACGGCUCUACCAAGGCAACGAUCAGUAGCCGGCUUGAGAGAGUGGACGGCCACAUUGGGACUGAGACACGGCCCAGACUCCUACGGGAGACAGCAGUUAGGAAUAUUCGUCAAUGGAGGAAACUCUGAACGAGCAAUGCCGCGUGAAGGAUGACGGUCCUAUGGAUUGUAAACUUCUGUUGUUAGGGAAGAACGACUUAAGCAGGAAAUGACUUAAGAGUGACGGUACCUUUCAAGAAAGCUCCGGCUAACUAC
rnacentral:rRNA from 1 species